rnacentral:rRNA from 1 species
GACGAACGCUGGCGGCGUGCUUAACACAUGCAAGUCGAACGAAGAGCGAUGGAAGCUUGCUUCUAUCAAUCUUAGUGGCGAACGGGUGAGUAACGCGUAAUCAACCUGCCCUUCAGAGGGGGACAACAGUUGGAAACGACUGCUAAUACCGCAUACGAUCCGACCUCGGCAUCGAGGAUGGAUGAAAGGUGGCCUCUAUUUAUAAGCUAUCACUGAAGGAGGGGAUUGCGUCUGAUUAGCUAGCUGGAGGGGUAACGGCCCACCAAGGCAAUGAUCAGUAGCCGGUCUGAGAGGAUGGACGGCCACAUUGGGACUGAGACACGGCCCAGACUCCUACGGGAGGCAGCAGUGGGGAAUCUUCCGCAAUGGACGAAAGUCUGACGGAGCAACGCCGCGUGAGUGAUGACGGCCUUCGGGUUGUAAAGCUCUGUUAAUCGGGACGAAAGGUCUUCUUGCGAAUAGGUAGAAGAAUUGACGGUACCGGAAUAGAAAGCCACGGCUAACUACGUG